rnacentral:rRNA from 1 species
GCUUUAUCCUAAACUUUGGAAACCCCCGCUAGAGUACUACAAGCCACAGCUUAAAACUCAAAGGACUUGGUGGUGCUCUACACCCACCUAGAGGAGCCUGUUCUGUAAUCGAUACCCCCCGAUAAACCUCACCUUUUUUUGCUAAUUCAGCCUAUAUACCACCGCCCUCAGCUAACCUCUCAAGAGAAUAAUAGUAAGCAAAAUAAUUCAAAAUAAAAAAGCCAGGUCAAGGUGUAGCACAUAAAAAGGAAAGAAAUGGGCUACAUUUUUUACAUAAAAAAUACGGAAUAUUUUAUGAAAUAAAGUAUAAAGGAGGAUUUAGAAGUAAAAAGAAAAAAGAGAGCUCUUUUUAAAUCGGCAAUAGAGUGCGC